rnacentral:lncRNA from 1 species
GCUGAAAGUCCGUAUUGCCCAGCGACAGCCCCGAAACCUGAAGGAUCUGGAGAAGGUCUGUAUGGAGGAGUGGGCCAAAAUCCCUGCUGCAGUGUGUGCAAACCUGGUCAAGAACUACAGGAAAUGUAUGAUCUCUGUAAUUGCAAACAAAGGUUUCUGUACCAAAUAUUAAGUUCUACUUUUCUGAUGUAUCAAAUACUUAUGUCAUGCAAUAAAAUUCUAGUGAAUUACUUAAAAAUCAUAAGAUGUGAUUUUCUGGAUUUUUGAUUCAGUAUCUCACAGUUGAAGUGUACCUAUGAUAAAAAUUACAGACCUCUACAUAAUUUGUAAGUAGGAAAACCUGCUAAAUCGGCAGUGUAUCAAAUACUUGUUCUCCCCACUGUAUAUAUAUAUGCACAUUUUGAAUAUUCCUUAUUUGUUAAGUAAAUAACGGAACCAAGAAAAGAUGGAACCAACAAAGGUGAUAUGAGAACACUCAGAGCAGGUGAGGGAACACUCAGAGCAGGUGAGGGUACACUCAGAGCAGGUGAGGGUACACUCAGAGAAGGUUAUAUGAGAACACUGAGAGCAGGUGAGGGAACAGUCGGAGCAGGUGAUAUGAGAACACUCAGAGCAGGUGAUAUGAGAACACUCAGAGCAGGUGAGGGAACACUCACAGCAGGUGAUAUGAGAACACUCAGAGAAGGUGAGGGAACACUCACAGCAGGUGAUAUGAGAACACUCAGAGAAGGUGAGGGAACACUCGGAGCAGGGGAUAUGAGAACACUCAGAGAAGGUGAUAUGAGGUCUCUCAGAGAAGGUGGGGGAACACUCCGAGAAGGUGAUAUGAGAACACUCAGAGAAGGUGACAUGAGCACACCCAGAGCAGGAGAUAUGAGAACACUCAGAGAAGGUGAUAUGAGAACACUCAGAGCAGGUGAGGGAACACUCAGAGCAGGUGAGGGAACACUCAGAGCAGGUGAGGGUACACUCAGAGCAGGUGAGGGUACACUCAGAGCAGGUGAUAUGAGAACACUGAGAGCAGGUGAGGGAACACUCAGAGCAGGUGAUAUGAGAACACUGAGAGCAGGUGAGGGAACACUCAGAGCAGGUGAUAUGAGAACACUCAGAGCAGGUGAGGGAACAUUCGGAGCAGGUGAGGGUACACUCAUAGCAGGUGCUAUGAGAACACUCAGAGAAGGUGAGGGAACACUCGGAGCAGGGGAUAUGAGAACACUCAGAGAAGGUGAUAUGAGAACACUCAGAGAAGGU